CUCGUAGGCGGUUUGUUAAGUCGGAUGUGAAAGCCCCGGGCUCAACCUGGGAACUGCAUUCGAUACUGGCAAACUAGAGUAUAGAAGAGGCAAGUGGAAUUCCAGGUGUAGCGGUGAAAUGCGUAGAUAUCUGGAGGAACAUCAGUGGCGAAGGCGACUUGCUGGUCUAAUACUGACGCUGAGGAGCGAAAGCGUGGGGAGCAAACAGGAUUAGAUACCCUGGUAGUCC
rnacentral:rRNA from 1 species